GACGAACGCUGGCGGCGUGCUUAACACAUGCAAGUCGAGCGGAGCGGCGAACGGGUGAGUAACGCGUGAGUAACUGCCCCCCUCUCUGGGAUAACAGUUGGAAACGGCUGCUAAUACCGGAUAGUGGGGGAUGACUCGCGUCCUAUCAGCUUGUUGGUGGGGUAGUGGCUUACCAAGGGGACGACGGGUAGCCGGGCUGAGAGGGCGACCGGGCACAUUGGGCUGAGAUACGACCCAAACUCCAACGGGAGGCAGCGGUGGAGAAUAGUGCGCAAUGGGGGGAACGCUGAAGCAGCAACGCCGCGUGCGAGAUGACGGCCUUCGGGUUGUAAACCGCUUGCAGCCAUGACGCGGUAGUGGCAGAAGAAGCACCGGCUAACUACGUGCCAGCAGCCGCGGUAAUUC
rnacentral:rRNA from 1 species